AGCAGCCGCGGUAAUUCCAGCUCCAAUAGCGUAUAUUAAAGUUGUUGCAGUUAAAAAGCUCGUAAUUGAAUUUCGGGACCAAUCUGCCGGUCGUGCCUCCGGUACGCACUGGUCUUAUUGGUCUCUCCCUUCUGACGAACCACGAUGUCAUUAAUUUGGUGUCAUGGGGAAUCAGGACUGUUACUUUGAAAAAAUUAGAGUGUUUAUAGCAGGCUCACGCUUGAAUACAUUAGCAUGGAAUAAUGAAAUAGGACGUUUGACCCUAUUUUGUUGGUUUCUAGGAUCGACGUAAUGAUUAAUAGGGAUAGUUGGGGGCAUUAGUAUUCAAUUGUCAGAGGUGAAAUUCUUGGAUUUAUCGAAGACUAACUAUUGCGAAAGCAUUUGCCAAGGAUGUUUUCAUUAAUCAAGAACGAAAGUUAGGGGAUCGAAGGACGAAUCAGAUACCGUCGUAGUCUUAACCAUAAACUAUGCCGACUAGGGAUCGGAUGAUGUUAAUUUUUUAAUGACU
rnacentral:rRNA from 1 species